rnacentral:rRNA from 1 species
AUGAACGCUAGCGACAGGCCUAACACAUGCAAGUCGAGGGGCAGCACAAGGAGCAAUCUGAGGUGGCGACCGGCGCACGGGUGAGUAACACGUAUGCAACCUGCCUGUAAGCGGGGAAUAACCCGUUGAAAGACGGACUAAUACCGCAUAAUACUAAAUUACUGCAUGGUAAUUUAUUUAAACAUUUAUGGCUUACAGAUGGGCAUGCGCAUGAUUAGCUAGUUGGAGAGGUAACGGCUCCCCAAGGCAACGAUCAUUAGGGGUUCUGAGAGGAAGGUCCCCCACACUGGUACUGAGACACGGACCAGACUCCUACGGGAGGCAGCAGUGAGGAAUAUUGGUCAAUGGACGAGAGUCUGAACCAGCCAAGUCGCGUGCAGGAAGAAUGUCCUAAUGGAUUGUAAACUGCUUUUGCAGGGGAAUAAAGUGCAUCACGUGUGAUGUUUUGUAUGUACUCUGCGAAUAAGGAUCGGCUAACUCCGUGCCAGCAGCUGC